UCCAGACUCCUACGGGAGGCAGCAGUGGGGGAUAUUGCACAAUGGGGGGAACCCUGAUGCAGCGACGCCGCGUGGGUGAAGAAGCGCCUCGGCGCGUAAAGCCCUGUCAGCAGGGAAGAAAAUGACGGUACCUGAAGAAUAAGCUCCGGCUAACUACGUGCCAGCAGCCGCGGUAAUACGUAGGGAGCAAGCGUUAUCCGGAUUUACUGGGUGUAAAGGGCGUGUAGGCGGGCCUGCAAGUCAGAAGUGAAAUCUGGGGGCUUAACCCCCAAACUGCUUUUGAAACUGUGGGUCUUGAGUGAUGGAGAGGCAGGCGGAAUUCCCAGUGUAGCGGUGAAAUGCGUAGAUAUUGGGAGGAACACCAGUGGCGAAGGCGGCCUGCUGGACAUUAACUGACGCCGAGGCGCGAAAGCGUGGGGAGCAAACAGGAUUAGAUACCCCCGUAA
rnacentral:rRNA from 1 species